AUUGAACGCUGGCGGAAUGCUUUACACAUGCAAGUCGAACGGUAGAGGGGGCAACCCCUUGAGAGUGGCGAACGGGUGAGUAAUAUAUCGGAACGUGCCCAGUCGUGGGGAUAACGUAGCGAAAGUUACGCUAAUACCGCAUACGAUCUAAGGAUGAAAGCGGGGGAUCGCAAGACCUCGCGCGAUUGGAGCGGCCGAUAUCAGAUUAGGUAGUUGGUGAGGUAAAGGCUCACCAAGCCAACGAUCUGUAGCUGGUCUGAGAGGACGACCAGCCACACUGGAACCGAGACACGGUCCAGACUCCUACGGAGGCAGCAGUGGGGAA
rnacentral:rRNA from 1 species